CCAGACUCCUACGGGAGGCAGCAGUGAGGAAUAUUGGUCAAUGGCCGAGAGGCUGAACCAGCCAAGUCGCGUGAGGGAUGACGGCCCUACGGGUUGUAAACCUCUUUUGCCGGGGAGCAAAGAGCGGGACGCGUCCCGCCUCGAGAGUACCCGGAGAAAAAGCAUCGGCUAACUCCGUGCCAGCAGCCGCGGUAAUACGGAGGAUGCGAGCGUUAUCCGGAUUUAUUGGGUUUAAAGGGUGCGCAGGCGGUCGGUAAGGGCAGGGGAAACGGCCGGGGCCCCACCCCCGCCCCGCCGUUGAAACUGGCAGUCUCGAGUUGGAGAGAAGUAUGCGGAAUGCGCGGUGUAGCGGUGAAAUGCAUAGAUAUCGCGCAGAACUCCGAUUGCGAAGGCAGCAUGCCGGCUCCACACUGACGCUGAGGCACGAAAGCGUGGGUAUCGAACAGGAUUAGAUACCCUUGUA
rnacentral:rRNA from 1 species